rnacentral:snoRNA from 1 species
AAACUAUGCUGAGGACAUCUUCUAAAUAAAUCCUUGAAUAUCUCCUAAGCCUCUUAAAAUGGUUCUAAGUCU